rnacentral:rRNA from 1 species
UUGACGGGGAGCACCACAACGGGUGGAGCUUGCGGUUUAAUUGGAUUCAACGCCGGAAAUCUUACCGGACCGACAGCAAUAUGAAGGCCAGGCUGAAGACUUUGCCGGAUUAGCUGAGAGGUGGUGCAUGGCCGUCGUCAGUUCGUACUGUGAAGCAUCCUGUUAAGUCAGGCAACGAGCGAGACCCACGCCCACAGUUGCCAGCGUACUCUCCGGAGUGACGGGUACACUGUGGGGACCGCCGCUGCUAAAGCGGAGGAAGGAAUGGGCAACGGUAGGUCAGUAUGCCCCGAAUAUCCCGGGCUACACGCGAGCUACAAUGGUUGGUACAAUGGGUAUCUACCCCGAAAGGGGACGGGAAUCUCCUAAAACCAAUCUUAGUUCGGAUUGAGGGCUGCAACUCGCCCUCAUGAAGCUGGAAUCCGUAGUAAUCGCGUUUCAACAGAACGCGGUGAAUACGUCCCCUGCUCCUU